UUUUGUGAUGUUUGAAAAAUUAUAAAGAUGAAAAUAAGUUAGACAACAUAUAAACCGAACAAUAAAAAAAAAUUCAUUAAACACUACGAGGGAAGAAUGCCAUCUUGUUGUAAUUUUUGGUCGAUUCCAUAUGUUAUAUAUAUGUAUGUAUGACUUCCCUCGUGUUCAUUCAGGAAAUUAUUCAUCACUAAAUCAUAAUUCAAACUUAUGAAACAAAAUUAAUUUAUAUAUACAUAACAAUAAAAGAAUGGUUGUUUUUGUUAUUACGUUACUAUGCAUAACUUGUAAGUAACAAAGAUAAUGGUGAUUGAAGAUCAAAACAUUUGCUUUGUCUUAAUUCUUAUUUAUCUUUAUGCUCAUGGCAUAUAUAAGUUUGAGCAUCCAACUCAAAAUAGAUGUUUUUUGUUGGUGAUAUC
rnacentral:lncRNA from 1 species